rnacentral:rRNA from 1 species
AGCGAACGCUGGCGGCAGGCCUAACACAUGCAAGUCGAACGAUCCUUCGGGAUAGUGGCGGACGGGUGAGUAACACGUGGGAACGUGCCCUUUGGUACGGAACAACUCAGGGACACUUGAGCUAAUACCGUAUGAGCCAUUCGGGGGAAAGAUUUAUCGCCAUUGGAGCGUCCCGCGUCUGAUUAGCUAGUUGGUGAGGUAAAGGCUCACCAAGGCUACGAUCAGUAGCUGGUCUGAGAGGAUGAUCAGCCACAUUGGGACUGAGACACGGCCCACACACCUACGGGAGGGAGCAGUGGGGAAUCUUGCGCAAUGGGCGAAAGCUUGACGCAGCCAUGCCGCGUGAAUGAUGAGGGUCUUAGGAUUGUAAAAUUCUUUCGCCGGGGACGAUAAUGACGGUACCCGGAGAAGAAGCCCCGGCUAACUUCGUGCCAGCCGCCGCCGUAAGAC